rnacentral:rRNA from 1 species
UACGAAGGGGGCUAGCGUUGUUCGGAAUUACUGGGCGUAAAGCGCACGUAGGCGGAUAUUUAAGUCAGGGGUGAAAUCCCAGAGCUCAACUCUGGAACUGCCUUUGAUACUGGGUAUCUCGAGUAUGGAAGAGGUGAGUGGAAUUCCGAGUGUAGAGGUGAAAUUCGUAGAUAUUCGGAGGAACACCAGUGGCGAAGGCGGCUCACUGGUCCAUUACUGACGCUGAGGUGCGAAAAGCGUGGGGAGCAAACAGG